UACGAAGGGGGCUAGCGUUGCUCGGAAUCACUGGGCGUAAAGGGCGUGUAGGCGGGAAGGAAAGUCAGAUGUGAAAUCCCUGGGCUCAACCCAGGAACUGCAUUUGAAACUCCCUUUCUUGAGUGUCGGAGAGGAAAGUGGAAUUCCUGGUGUAGAGGUGAAAUUCGUAGAUAUCAGGAGGAACACCGGUGGCGAAGGCGGCAUUCUGGACCGACAUUGACGCUGAGGAGCGAAAGCCAGGGGAGCAAACGGG
rnacentral:rRNA from 1 species